GACGACGCUGGCGGCGUGCCUAACACAUGCAAGUCGAACGAAGAAUGUUUUUCGGAAUAUUCUUAGUGGCGGACGGGUGAGUAACGCGUGAACAAUCUGCCCCGUACAAAGGGAUAGCCUCGGGAAACCGGGAUUAAAACCAUAUAACGCUUUAGUACCGCAUGGUAAUAAAGUCAAAUCGAUUAAGAGGUAUGGGAUGAGUUCGCGUCUGAUUAGCUAGUUGGUGAGGUAAGGGCUCACCAAGGCGACGAUCAGUAGCCGGCCUGAGAGGGUGAACGGCCACACUGGAACUGAGACACGGUCCAGACUCCUACGGGAGGCAGCAGUGGGGAAUAUUGCACAAUGGAGGGAACUCUGAUGCAGCGACGCCGCGUGAGUGAAGAAGGUCUUCGGAUCGUAAAACUCUGUCCUUGGUGAAGAAAAGGACGGUAGCCAAGGAGGAAGCCCCGGCUAACUACGUG
rnacentral:rRNA from 1 species